AGCAGCCGCGGUAAUUCCAGCUCCAAUAGCGUAUAUUAAAGUUGUUGCAGUUAAAAAGCUCGUAGUUGAAUUUCGGGAUUGACACAUCGGUCGUGCCUUAAGGGGUAUGAACUGGUGUAGUCAAUUUCUCACCUUCUGGAGAACCGCGAUGCCCUUAAUUGGGUGUCGCGGGGAACCAGGACCUUUACUUUGAAAAAAUUAGAGUGUUUAAAGCAGGCAUUUUGCUUGAAUACAUUAGCAUGGAAUAAUAAAAUAGGACGGCAUGAUUCUAUUUUGUUGGUUUCUAGGAUCACCGUAAUGAUUAAUAGGGAUAGUUGGGGGCAUUAGUAUUCAAUUGUCAGAGGUGAAAUUCUUGGAUUUAUUGAAGACUAACUACUGCGAAAGCAUUUGCCAAGGAUGUUUUCAUUAAUCAAGAACGAAAGUUAGGGGAUCGAAGACGAUCAGAUACCGUCGUAGUCUUAACCAUAAACUAUGCCGACUAGGA
rnacentral:misc_RNA from 1 species